rnacentral:rRNA from 1 species
GACGAACGCUGGCGGCGUGCUUAACACAUGCAAGUCGAACGGAAAGGCCCUGCUUUCGUGGGGUGCUCGAGUGGCGAACGGGUGAGUAACACGUGAGUAACCUGCCCUUGACUUUGGGAUAACUUCAGGAAACUGGGGCUAAUACCGGAUAGGAGCUCCUGCUGCAUGGUGGGGGUUGGAACGUUUCGGCGGUUGGGGCUGGACGCGCGGCUUAUCAGCUUGUUGGUGGGGUAGUGGCUUACCAAGGCUUUGGCGGGUAGCCGGCCUGGGAGGGUGACCGGCCACAUUGGGACUGCGAUACGGCCCAGUCUCCUACGGGAGGCAGCAGUGGGGAAUAUUGCACAAUGGGCGCAAGCCUGAUGCAGCAACGCCGCGUGCGGGAUGACGGCCUUCGGGUUGUAAACCGCUUUCGCCUGUGACGAAGCGUGAGUGACGGUAAUGGGUAAAGAAGCACCGGCUAACUACGUG